UACGGGGGGAGCAAGCGUUGUUCGGAUUUACUGGGCGUAAAGGGCGCGUAGGCGGCGUAACAAGUCACUUGUGAAAUCUCCGGGCUUAACUCGGAGCGGUCAAGUGAUACUGUUGUGCUAGAGUGCGGAAGGGGCUACUGGAAUUCUCGGUGUAGCGGUGAAAUGCGCAGAUAUCGGGAAGAACACCGGUGGCGAAGGCGGCUCUCUGGACCUGUCCUGACGCUCAGGCGCGAAAGCUAGGGGAGCGAACAGG
rnacentral:rRNA from 1 species